AAGACUGAUCUAGCCAUGCSCGUGUGUGAUGMWGGUCUUAGKACGUAAAGCACUUUCGCCACGGAUGAUAAUGACAGUACCUGGUAAAGAAACCCCGGCUAACUCCGUGCCAGCAGCCGCGGUAAUACGSMGGGGGUUAGCGUUGUUCGGAAUUACUGGGCGUAAAGCGUACGUAGGCGGAUUGGAAAGUUCGGGGGUGAAAUCCCAGGGCUCAACCCUGGAACUGCCUCCAAAACUAUCAGUCUAGAGUKCGAGAGAGGUGAGUGGAAUUCCAAGUGUAGAGGUGAAAUUCGUAGAUAUUUGGAGGAACACCAGUGGCGAAGCCGGCUCACUCGGCUCGAUACUGACGCUGACGGUACGAAAGUGUGGGGAGCAAACAGGAUUAGAUACCCUGGUAGCWCCACACCGUAAACGAUGAAUGCCAUGCGUCGGGCAGUAUACUGUUCRUGUGACACACCUAAGCGWAUAAGCAUUCCGCUGGGGAGUACGUCGCAAC
rnacentral:rRNA from 1 species